UGGGGAAUAUUGCACAAUGGGCGAAAGCCUGAUGCAGCAAUGCCGCGUGUGUGAAGAAGGCCUCGGUUGUAAAGCACUUUGUCCGGAAAGAAAUCCUUGGCUCUAAUACAGUCGGGGAUGACGGUACCGGAAGAAUAAGCACCGGCUAACUACGUGCCAGCAGCCGCGGUAAUACGUAGGGUGCAAGCGUUAAUCGGAAUUACUGGGCGUAAAGCGUGCGCAGGCGGUUUGCUAAGACCGAUGUGAAAUCCCCGGCUCAACCUGGGAACUGCAUUGGUGACUGGCAGGCUAGAGUAUGGCAGAGGGGGGUAGAAUUCCACGUGUAGCAGUGAAAUGCGUAGAGAUGUGGAGGAAUACCGAUGGCGAAGGCAGCCCCCUGGGCCAAUACUGACGCUCAUGCACGAAAGCGUGGGGAGCAAAACAGGAUUAGAUACCCCUGGUAGUCCACGCCCUAAACNAUGUCAACUAGUUGUUGGGGAUUCAUUUUCCUUAGUAACGUAGCUAACGCGUGAAGUUGACCGCCUGGGGAGUACGGUCGCAA
rnacentral:rRNA from 1 species